CAUGCCGUAAACGUUGGGCACUAGGUGUGGGGUCCGUUUCCACGGGUUCUGCGCCGUAGCUAACGCAUUAAGUGCCCCGCCUGGGGAGUACGGCCGCAAGGCUAAAACUCAAAGGAAUUG
rnacentral:rRNA from 1 species